AAAAUCAUUAAAAAAGUUUAAAAGCCCUUCUUCAAAAGUGGCUGUAAGACGUUUAAGACAGUAGAGUAGAAUUUACAUUGGAGAUUGUUUUACACACGAUGGAGAGAUUUUCGUGAUCUACACGGCCUGAAAACGGAUGAAGAGUUGGCAAAGUAUCUUUUAGACAGUCAUCAGUCCAAAUAUGAAGCAUCAACAUCUACACCAUUGAAGCGCCAACUGUGUAUUUCUCCAACACCAGUGCCAGCUCUGUCUAGCAUUCAUGGAGAGUCAUCUGAAAGGGAUGAUAAUUUGGAGGAGGUGAUGGAACAAGGUGAAACUAACAAAGAAGGAUCUUCACAAAUGAUAGAGUCAUCAGAUGACACAUGGUCACCAAACAGAGAACCAGAAGUUGAUUUGUCUUCAGAGGAGGACGAAACCAUCGAGAUGGACAGCGGUACUGAUGACAGCGGUGAUGAGGACUACACACCUUAUAUACACAUAAGGUAAUUCCUUUCGUUUAACAUUCUAUAAAACUGCAAUAGCGCAUAGUUAAUAAAAAGCUUUUGUUCACAGGACUGGAGCAGCAUUACAAACAACAUUACAA